rnacentral:rRNA from 1 species
UACGAGGGGGGCGAGCGUUGUUCGGAAUUAUUGGGCGUAAAGGGUGCGUAGGCGGUUCCGCAAGUCCUGUGUGAAAUCUUCGGGCUCAACUCGAAGUCUGCACGGGAAACUGCGGGCUUGAGUAUGGGAGAGGUAAGCGGAAUUCCUGGUGUAGCGGUGAAAUGCGUAGAUAUCAGGAGGAACACCUGUGGUGUAGACAGCUUACUGGACCAUUACUGACACUGAGACACGAAAGCGUGGGUAGCAAACAGG